rnacentral:rRNA from 1 species
CCCUUAGAUGUUCUGGGCCGCACGCGCGCUACACUGAUUCAUGCAACAAGUUUUGUCCUUGGCUGAUAGGCCUGGGUAAUCUUUGAACGUGAAUCGUGAUGGGGAUAGAUGAUUGCAAUUAUUCAUCUUCAACGAGGAAUUCCUAGUAAACGCAAGUCAUCAGCUUGCAUUGAUUACGUCCCUGCCCUUUGUACACACCGCCCGUCGCACCUACCGAUUGAAUGGUCCGGUGAAAUCUCGGGACGGCGGCUUGGUCGCUUGCGUCCGACUGCUGAAACUUGAUUAAACCAUAUCAUUUAGAGGAAGGUGAANUCGUAACA